AAAAUAAAGCCUUUUUCAUUGCCCCCCCCCUUCAAUCCUUCACGCAGCCACACCCCCCACUCCCCCCACAUAAAAGAAGGCACUCCACGAAAAAACCCCCGCUUAUUUCUUUCCCCCACCACCCCGUUAUAACAGAGGGUGCGAGCGUUUUUCGUUUUUUACUGGGUGUAAAGAGCGGUAGGCGGCUUUUUAAUGUGGGAUGAAAAAUCCCUGAGCUAAACUUAGAAAUCGCAUUCGAUACUGGGAAGCUAGAGUUUGGGAGGGGAUGUUAAAUUUCCAGGUGGAGCGGUGAAAUGUGUAGCUAUGGGGGGGAAUACCGAGGGAAAAGGCAGCUUUCUGCCCUA
rnacentral:rRNA from 1 species